CCUACGGGUGGCAGCAGUGAGGAAUAUUGGUCAAUGGGCGCGAGCCUGAACCAGCCAAGUAGCGUGAAGGAUGACUGCCCUACGGGUUGUAAACUUCUUUUAUAUGGGAAUAAAAUGUUCCACGUGUGGGAUUUUGUAUGUACCAUAUGAAUAAGGAUCGGCUAACUCCGUGCCAGCAGCCGCGGUAAUACGGAGGAUCCGAGCGUUAUCCGGAUUUAUUGGGUUUAAGGGGAGCGUAGGUGGAUUGUUAAGUCAGUUGUGAAAGUUUGCGGCUCAACCGUAAAAUUGCAGUUGAAACUGGCAGGCUUGAGUGCAGUAGAGGUGGGCGGAAUUCGUGGUGUAGCGGUGAAAUGCUUAGAGAUCACGAAGAACUCCGAUUGCGAAGGCAGCUCACUGGACUGCAACUGACACUGAGGCUCGAAAGUGUGGGUAUCAAACAGGAUUAGAUACCCCAGUAGUC
rnacentral:rRNA from 1 species